AAGGAUCAUUAACGAAUAAACCUGGUGGGUUGUUGCUGACCUCCUUGGGGGUAUGUGCACGCCUGCCAUAAGUUUCAUUCAUCCCUUCCACCUGUGCACUCCCUGUAGACUAAACACAUCGUCACCAUCAGUUAAAGCCCAUCUGGGCAUUCUGGUAUGGGGACUUGCUCCGGCUGUCCUUGGAUGGGUUGUGGUCUAUGUCUUUAUCAACACUUAUGAUAUGGAAUGUUUGUUUGGGUUCUACAUAGACCCAUAAAAUCCUAUACAACUUUCAACAACGGAUCUCUUGGCUCUC
rnacentral:misc_RNA from 1 species